ACCGCCAUGUUGGCGUGUGAGGGCCGGGGUGCGGCACUGCCCGGUCCUCCCCCGGCACGGAGCUCGCUGGCAGCCGCCCGCCGCCGUCUCGAACGGGUCUUGUCCUUUCUGCCCCGUCCAGACCUGCCGGCUCUCAUCAAUGUACGCAAAUGUCUAAAGGUGCUGAGAGGAUGAAGUCAGGCUCUGCUCGGUUGUGCCAAGCAAUGGGACAAGAGGCGAUGGGCAGGAGCUCAUCCGUAGGAAGUUUCACCUGAACAUGAAGAUGAACUUUGCUGUGCGGGUGACGGAGCACUGGAACAGAUUGUCCAGAGAGGCUGAGGAGUCUCUAUCACCAGGAAUAUUCAAGAACCCCCUGGAAUCCUGUGCAAGUGAGGAGCAGAAGACUAAACACAGAACUUGAGGUGCCGAGCACAGGGCGACAAUCACUGCCCUGGUUCUACUGGCUGCACUAUUUCUUUCACAGGCCAGGAUGCCAUUGGCCUUCUUGGCUACCUGGGAACACACUUGCUCAUGUUCAGCUGGCUGUCAACCAACACCCCCAGGUACUUUUCUGCUGGGCCAGUGGAGUUCUUGUUUACAAUGUAAAUUAGCCUAAGUAUGUUUUCAGUGUAGCUAUUAGUCUCAGUUUGGUACUCCUCAUUUUUUGAAUCUGUCUCUCAAAGUCAAUAAAGCAUACUGCUGUGAAUAUCAUUUAAA